rnacentral:tRNA from 1 species
GUGGGCGUAGCUCAAUGGUAGAGCACCGCUCUGUGGCAGCGGUGGUUGCGGGUUCAAAUCCCGUCGCUCACC